GCCAUUUUACCGAUCAUCAUAUUGGUGUCACCACGGUGAAUGGCCAAGCCGCAGGCUCCCCAAAGCAACGAACAUCACGGUUGCCUGCGAAAGGCAACAUAUAACUGCAACCAGACUGACUGAGAGAAUAAAUGAAUAACUACUCUAAUACAGUGCUAAAUGAAAACACCUCUAUUCAGAAGCCCACUGUGAAUCAAACCCCAGGUGCUUCCUACCCAACAUGGCUCUAUUGUAAGAAGAAGUUACAUUUCGUUGGGAUUUAACUUUGGCUUUCAAAGCUUUGUUCUACAAAUUUCCCUAAUUUGCAUAAAACUGCAGGCACUGAAUUAAUAAUAAAGGAAUAAGGAUUUUUACAAAAUCAUCCUUUGAUGAAUAAUCUGAAAAAAGCAUGGUUAUGAUCUGCUGCACAAAGGCCUGUCAGGGUGCUGAGUGACUUAGAGCAAAGAUAUUUCUCUCAAGAUUAAAUGCAUCUCAGAAACUAACAAAGAGCAGUCUGUCUCGAGAAAGACAGUCUAUUACCAAAAUGGGAAGAAGUUCGGAAAACCAUGAGGAGGAAUUGAGGGCUGAAGAAAGGCUCACUGGCAAGUUUGGCAAAACUGAAUAUUGUCACUUCAAGGAGGAGGGGACCAUACAACUGAAGAAGAGCUCUUCUUAAAGGCGAGAGGCUUUGUCAGAUGGGCCAUCACAUUUGGGUCUCCAGCUUCUGAUCCCAGUCUGCAGGUGGCAAAGAAAUGAACAUGGCAUGCACAGUGCAUGCAAGGUGCACUCCAGACUCAGCCUGCUCAGAAAUUCAAUAUGACAGCCUAGACUCGCUUUCCCAAGGCCUUUUUUAUACCAUGUUUGCACCCCUAUACUGCCUACAGCCUGAUGAAGAAAUACUCCAUUAGCUUUCAUUUAACUAGCAGGGACAGUAACAGCAGCCCAAACAGAGGUGUGCAGAGGUGAGGUCACACCAGUUUUAGGUCUGAGUGAUAUCCAGCCACUGACUGCUGUAGCUGCUCUGAUCAUGCUUCUUGCAAUAAGCAAGAUUAGACUCUGGAGAUCUAGAACUGUCUUCAAAGAACAGUGAUGUUGGUACCCCGUUUUUCUAGACAGAUACAACUGAGCAGGAAGAUGCGUAUCUCAUUCUCACACUUGGGAGAAGGUCAGGAGCCAGCACUGGUGGUGUGGCUGGGAGGGAAGGAGAAAGAUCCACGUGGGGCACAGAUACAGAACUGCAGGUUCUCAGAUCGGGCAGGAUCUCAGAAACGGGCACUGACCCUCAGCUGGUCACCACCAUUGUUGCCAUGCUUCUACACGUACCCUUCCUCUCACCUUUGAUCCCCAUAUCACACAUCUGUGGCUAAAGCCUAGGUCCAGUCCAUCCUCCUGCAACAUCCAAUACAGAGCAACCUCCUUGGAGACACCUGUUCCCAGUAUUACCUACUUCACAUCCUGUGCCACAAGGGUAGAACAUACAUAUGCAUAGGUUGGGGAUGGAGCAAACAACCUGGUGCCAGCUAUUAGGGACGUUUAGAGGCUCAGUGAUUUUCACUUUUCUGUAAUGCUUGUAGAUAAGCCUACAAGGAAACUCCAAUUAUGCUUUUCUUGGCAAGGGAGCACUACAGAAUAUAAAUUAUUUACUAACUCUUUUAGAUGCUUUAAUCAAUACUUUAUCAAUUAUUAUUACCAGUGUGAAUAAUGCCUGUGAUCCUUCAUAAGCAAAGUGCUUAACUGCAUGCCUAAACUCAAUGCAUUUUGUCUAAUUUAAUCCCUGCCACAGGCAAUUUCUUACAAACAUCAAGCAAACUGGGGCCCUAGGGCCUGUACUGUGAGAUAAUAGAUCCUACAGUUCCAAGCUGGCCAAAAUGAUUGUUGAUGAAACGUUAGUUUUGAUCUGAGUGAUAUCUCUCCUAUUGAAAACUGAUGACUUUAUUUUGUCAUCAUUAAUAAUGGACAAAAAUUAAAUGAUCCUUUUUUCUUUCCAAAUCCUUCUGAAAAUAUUUGUUUCUUUAAUAGCUUAAGAAAGUAAAUUUUUCUAAUAAAAAUAUUUUCUGAG
ensembl:lncRNA